rnacentral:lncRNA from 1 species
UUUAUAGUCAUACACGAUAGGACAAGCCAUUCACAUCAAAAUAACACCUCAUAUUACCUAUUCAAGUAGCAUACUACACCUUAUCAUUUUAUACUUAGUCUCUAUGCAACUAGUUUUAUCAUGAGAACUGCUAUCAAACAAUAUAACAUUGAAAUGUCUAGCCAAAAACCAAAGAAAACUGAACCAACAUGCCUCUUGGCUGCAUCUUUUAUCUACAGCAUCUCAACAAUCCCAUAUUAAUAUAAAAAAAAAUUUUAAACAGCCAAAGCAGUAACUAAUUAAGAAAGAAUGGACAAAAGCUAUAAAAUACCAUACAACCAAAGAUAUAGAACUGAGCUCAUAAAAAGAAAACUAGAAAAAUGUUUUGCACUCUAUUUUUUUCAUUUCACUCUUCAAUUCAAGCUUCACAUGGGGUAGAAUACAAAAGUGUACCUGAAUAAAAGCAAAAGAGGUCAGAAAUCUAGUCUGAAACUAGAAGAAAACAGUAGUAAUAGAAAUCAGCAAUGCAACAGUAACAACAACCAAAACCCAGACUUCAGUAACCAGGACCUAAAUGAUUCAAAACCAACCCUUAAAUUAGCAAUGGAACAGUAGGAACCACAGAAAAUCCAAACCAGACUCUACAGUACCAGCACUCAAACCCUUUUUUAACCCAAAAUGCAAACCAUGAACUUUCAAGAAUCUGAGCAUAAGUUUUAGUAAUUGUUUUGAAAAUGCCAGGAGUUCAAGGUUGUUUCAGAAAAUUUUAGAGAAGAAUCAAUUGUUUCAAUUUUUCUAUAUUUUCUAUCUCUUAAAAUUUGCCUUGAAUAUCAAGUUAAGGUGCCUUUAUAGGCAAGGUAUUUAGGGCUGCAGAAUGCCACUAGUUUUGCACUUUGCACCUUUUGACAUUUUCAUUUUAGCCUAGGUACCCUUAGUAUAAUUUUCAAAUAUUCAAAACAGUCCGCCUCCCCAGCUUUCAGAAUCUUCCUAAGUUAGUUACUGAGAUUCCCUAACCCAAUUUUCCCAAAUUGCCCCAUUUAGCCCCUCAAACCUAAUGGGUAUGGGUCAAAGUUCACCCAAGAUCCAAACCCCGAAUGAACAAUCCAGCAUUGAACUUAUGGCCCGAACAUCAUUCAGAAACUCAUUUAGCUGAUCAAUGAGAAACAAAAAAGGAGGAACAAAUGAACCACUUUAAAAGCCCAAAAUCUAAACUAACAAAUGAUCUUCUUUUUAAGCUAAAAAAACCAAAUCAGAAUUAAAUUAACAAAUUAACGAAGGUCUAACUUAAGCUAAAUAUCAAAAGGAUAGUGGUAUAAUUAAACGAAAUAAACAUAUAAUAUUGUUAAAAAAAAUUAAAGGGGAAAACUGAGAAUUCACAAGAACAAAUAUGACCACUACUUUAACCAAGAGGGAAAACUAGACUUGAGACUUAUAUUACUUUUCAAUCAAAAAACGAGCAUUCAAAUAAACGAAACAAAAGAAAGAAGUAUGAAGGUGAAACAAUGCGAAACUGAAAAGAAUAGGAAAAAUGAAGAAGACCUACAAACUUAAACUACGAACCCACACUGAUUUAACGAAACUAAUGUUAUUGAUUUGUUCUUUGUCAAGAACAAAUGAACGACAUUAAUUUGUGAUGAAUCAAAACUCCAAACUUGAGAUAAAUAAAGUCGCAAGGCAAUGCAUGCCAAUGGAGUCAAAUAAAAGGCGAUUUGAUAUUCUAGGGUUCCGACCUCAGAUUUGGGAUUCGAAGAGAUUGAGGCGGAUUCGAGAGGAACUGUGUUGAGAAUUGAAAAGAGGAAGAUGAGAAGGUUUAGGGUGUGAUUUUGAGGCUGGUUGGUAGUCGACCGCCGCCGCAGGCGAUAUCCGGCAAGUGGCCGGUUGAUUUAGAGAGACGAAUGGGUCUCUGGGAGUGCAAGGUGAGAGAUGAAACAUGGGGAUGGGGGUUAGGCGUUUGGUCGAUAGGGGGACUAGGUAUUUU